ACAUACGACCAUAGACUCAAGAGAAUUGGGCAUCCCGUCCGCUCUGCCAUACACAAGCUUGAGAUCGGUGGAUUAGUAGUUGGGUGGGUGACCACCAGCGAAUACCCACUGUUGUAUUUU
rnacentral:rRNA from 1 species